UACGGAGGGUGCGAGCGUUGUUCGGAAUCACUGGGCGUAAAGCGGGUGUAGGCGGUCCAUCAAGUCAGACGUGAAAGCCCACGGCUCAACCGUGGAAGUGCUUCUGAAACUGUUGGACUUGAGUACCGGAGAGGGAAGUGGAAUUCCUGGUGUAGGAGUGAAAUCCGUAGAUAUCAGGAGGAACACCGGUGGCGAAGGCGACUUCCUGGACGGAUACUGACGCUGAGACCCGAAAGCGUGGGGAGCAAACAGG
rnacentral:rRNA from 1 species